ensembl:lncRNA
CCCAAUAAAACUGCUAGCUGGUCACAUGUUGUAGUUCCAGCUGAUGACCAUUGUUCCACGAACUCAGAGCUCCUGCCAUUUUUCUUCCUACUUUGUAUUCUAUCCACCCAACCCAGAUAUUUCUGAAUCUGCCGUCAUCUCAUCAGAGUGUCACUGCUUUCUUUCGCUCCUGAUCUUGCUCCAUCUUCUCCUGCAAUUAAAUGAGCUCUCUGCAGUAUGUUCAGUUCUUGUGUUUCAGGUUUGAAAUUUCUGAACAAAGGAGUAUUUGCUUGCUUGGAUACCGACAGCCCAUGACAGGGUCAGCCCAGGGGAGCUCAGCUGCAAGCAAUGAAGCUGAGUGACCAGGAGGGCUGGAGCCAGGAUCUACCCCUUCCCAGACCUCAUUUAAGGGUUGGCAGUGGAAGUAAGUGUAUCUCUCUGGAGAUUCCUGUGUAUCAGUCUUGUUGAAGGAACCUGACCAAUGUGCCACGCUUACAAGAAAUAUGCAAAGAAAGAGUACAAGAAUUAAUGCACAACUCAAGGCAUGUCUGUGAUAUGCAAAGCAGCACAGAGAAGUAACAUCUGGGAAAGAAUCAAACGAACUCAUUCCAGAAAUGAAGCUGUUACAGCUGCAUUAGCCCAGGGUUGAGCCCAGGACAGCUGGCUAGCUGAGAGGCAGAGCUAGUCAUCCUGGGAUGAAAUCCAGUCCACUGAAAUCCCACUUUUUUCACAGACAGCAAAUCAGUCCACAUAUUUUUCUGGACUGCUCAUUAUAAAUCUCUCUAAAUUCAUUAAAGACGCCUUUAUUUCAUAGGAGGUAUUUUCCAGGUUUUUCCCUUAAAUGCUUGAGUCAAACUCUGCUGUGAUCAAAGUUCUAGUCCAGAUCCUAUACCAUUUUGUCUCCACUUAAUUCUUCUAGAAAGGUCUUUAAAAGUUAGAGUUAGUGAGAACAAGAAUGUGGCACCAGUCAUUUUAUUCCUAGGAGUCCAAAAGCUACAGGAAAGUGAGCUCAGAUUUUACACGCUGCUUGCAUCAGAACACCGCAAAGUUAUUUUAUCUGGUCAGUUGUGGAGCCAAGCAUACAGGAGAUAAAAAGAAGUCAAAAAAAAAAAAAAAAAAAAAAAAAAGAAAAGAAAAGAAAGAAAAAGAAAAAAAAAGACAAGAAUCUAGAGAGGAAGAACAGGACCAUUGGAUCCUGCUCCUUGUAACAUUGACUAUGUGACUGGUGUACUCCUGAAAGCAUGUAGUUUAUCUUCAUGGGGGAAAGGGAGCCCACCAUAUGCUUGGCCUUGACUUUAUGUUCAGAGAACUCCUGUAGGCAAAAGGGAAUGAAACUCCCUUGGGGUUGUGUAGAACCCAGGACCAGGGUCUUGGGGAGACACUCAGAUAUGAGGUCUUUAUUACAUAAAAUCUAGACUUGUGACUCCAUUUUAUAUUUUGCGUUCACCAUGAGAGCAUGGAUCUGGAUUCCACACUGAUGUCAUCACCUACAAUUUGCUUUUACUUCGAGCUCUCAGGGGAAGAUGCACAGUAAAGAGAAAUGGGUCCUUAGAAGUAUUUAUCUCUCUCUGUUAACUGUGCAUUGACCACUAUAGCUAAGUGGUCUCUACUUGUAUGUCCCCCCACUCCGAGUUACAACUUGGAGAGACCUCUGCUCAAAGAAGGAGACUAUACCAGGUCUGAGUAACAAGAAUGUUUUCAUCUGUUAAAAAUACAGAGGUAAA